ACAGAAUUUUGUGUAUCAGAUUAGCAAUCAAUGUAUUCAAUGAUGGUGCUUUCCAACCAAGUUGGAAAUGAUUUUGGGGUUGAGUUUCUGCCUUUUCAUCUAAUCAUUUUAAGAUAAGUGCUUGAACCCCCACUUAAAUCACACCAUUCAAGGCAAUUUUUUGAAGACUUUUAGUUAAAUUUGGGGCACUGUAUUUUCUGCAAACAAACUGUUUGAUUGAUUGUCUCAAUGAGAAAUAGAAUCCGGCUUUUCCUUAUAAUUAGAAGAUGAAGAAUGCAAGACCAACUCUGCUGCAAUUGAAGUUCGUAUGUAAACGCUGCAAUUGAAGUUCGUAUGAGCUAUUCUUGAAGCUCUACUUCUUAGGGAAAUGCAUAAGCAAAAACAUUACUGACAUAGAUCUAUCAGCUCUACUUACCUUGAAAGCCAGCUUUACUAUAAGCUCUUCUCAUCCCUUAACUCAAAAUUGGUCAUCUCAAGCUUCAGUUUGUGAUUGGAUUGGAGUCACUUGCGGUUCUCGCCACCAUAGGGUGGCUGCAUUAGGUAUAUCCAACAUGAACAUACUUGGAAACAAUAUUCCUCCACAUUUGGGAAACCUCUCUUUUUUCAUUUCUCUAAAUCUAAGCAAAAAUAAUUUACAUGGAUACCUCCCUCAAGAUUUGUCUCGUUUACAUCGAUUGAAAAUGAUGGAUCUCGGGUACAAUAAAUUUCAGCGGAGAGAUUCCAAUGUGGUUUGGCUUCAACUCUUCUUUCAUUUCCAAGUUAGAAACUCUGAGUGAUAGAAACAAUCGUCUUCAAGGAAGUAUCCCCAAGGAGAUUGGGAAUCUUAAGAAUCUAAAGGAGAUGAUUUUAUUCGAUAACCAAUUUACUGGCUCUAUUCCGUUCUCCAUUUUCAACAUGUCCUCAUUGGAAACUUUAGGUCUAUCAGGUAAUCAAUUAACCGGGACUCUUCCUGUAUAUAUAUGCCGCCAUCUUCAAAAAAUCAAGAGCAUUGCAAUCAUUUCCAACCACCUGAGUGGUCACAUUCCACCUGGUUUGACCAACUGCACGGAACUGGAUGAAUUGUCAUUAUCAUACAAUAACUUCAGUGGGACCAUUCCACCAGAGAUUGUAAACUUGGAGAGGCUUGAACGCUUGAAUCUUGGGGAAACAACUUGCAAGGCAUAAUUCCAGCAAACAUUGGUAAUUUGCGAAAGUUGCAGAAAUUACAAGUUGAGAACAAUCACAUUGUAGGUUUGAUACCGCGCACCAUAUCCAACUUAUCAUCACUAUGGUUGCUUAAUUUAAACAUCAAUAAUUUAUCAGGUGUUACACCCAGAGAGAUGGGGAAUCUUCACAAAUUGGAGAGACUUUAUUUGCAAUUUAAUAAGUUAAUUGGUUCCAUACCGGGGGAGCUCUUCAAUAUCUCUACGCUAACAAGGGUGCAACUUGUAGUCAAUAACCUUUCGGGUAGUCUUCCAUCUGCUUCAGGCUACUGGCAGACAAAUUUAGUGCUUUUAAAUCUUGCUGAAAACACAUUGGUGGAGUUAUACCCAGCUCAAUCUCCAAUUCUUCAAAUCUAAUGGAUUUAUUUCUUAAUGAUAACAAAUUCAGUGGCCAAAGUCCUAACUCAUUGGGGGAUUUGAGGCAUCUUGAAUAUCUGGAGUUGUUCAAUAAUAACUUGUCAUUUCCGCAUCUAAGUAUCUUUGCUUCCUUGGUGAACUGCAGAAAUUUGACAAGCUUAUGGUGUGCGGGUAAUCCUCUGAAUGGUGUUCUUCCGGAUUCCAUUGGCAAUCUCUCCAGUUAUAUUGAAAUAUUUGAUUUAUCUCGUACUGAAAUUAGGGGUCAGAUACCAUUAGGAAUUGGGAACUUAAGUAACUUAAACACUUUGUCAUUAUGCUCAUGGAAACUUUCACAAGAAAAAGGCCAUAUGAUGAAAUGUUUCAAGAAAAUUUGAACAUGAGGAGUUGGGUCUGUAAUUCACUACCUGUAGCAUUAGAAGAUAUUAUUGAUGACACCUUAUUGCAACCUGAAGAGAUUAAUUUUGAGAAAAAGUUGUGUUGUGUGUCCUCUAUUUUGAACUUGGCAUUGAAUUGCACAGUUGAAUCUCCUAAUGAGAGGCCGAACAUGAAAGAUGUCCUGGCAAAUAUCAAUAAGAUCAAACAAGAACUUCUUUGCAGAUGAUGUAACAAGGUUUAUGUGAUGGUAAUGCUGCCUUCCACUCCUCGCGUAACAAAUCUGGGUGACCCCAAUUGAAAUGAAAACCAAUCUUUGCUCCGAGAAUAGAACAUGUUUUACUAAAGUUGGUAUGGAGAAUGUGUUGGAGACUUUUAGUUAAAUUUGGGUCACUGUAUUUUCUGCAGACAAACUGUUUGAUUGAUUGUCUCAAAGAGAAAUAGAAUCUGGCUUUUCCUAAUAAUUAGAAGACGAAGAAUACAAGACAAAUUUCCUAUAUUUCCUUUCUUGGCGAAGAGAUUGAUUAGUAUACGAAAUCCAGGAUAGCUUACUGAACCUCAUAUGUGUGAUGUAGGUUCAAUCAAUGGUUAGGUCUGUCUAACCACUAAUUGUCUCCCUAAAUUGAUUUGUCUAUGUAACCAUUCCAUAAAUCAAUUCAAGAUUCUCCCUAUGCACUCUAUAAACCUUCAAGAAAAAACACAAAGGUUAUGUUAAUGUGGGUUUUGAAUAUGAACAGAAUUUUGAUGAUUA